AUCGCUUCUCGGCCUUUUUGGCUAAGAUCAAAGUGUAGUAUCUGUUCUUAUCAGCUUAAUAUCUGAUACGUCCUCCAUUUGGGGGACAUCGAUAUUAAACUGAUUUUUGAAAGGGGGUGAGGUGCCCGGGGCUUGCUCCGCCCUCACCACGGGUUGACCCGGUAUUGCAGUACUUCCGGGAAUGGCCCACCACUA
rnacentral:snRNA from 1 species